GGACGAACGCUGGCGGUAUGCUUAACACAUGCAAGUCGAACGAGACGAGAUGGAAGGAUCCUUCGGGUGACGGAAAUCUUAGAAAGUGGCGAACGGGUGAGUAACGCGUGGGUAACCUGCCCUAUGGAAAGGAAUAGCCUCGGGAAACUGGGAGUAAUGCCUUAUAAUACAUUGAAGUCGCAUGGCUUUGAUGUUAAACGCUCCGGUGCCAUAGGAUGGACCCGCGUCCCAUUAGCUAGUUGGUGAGAUAACAGCCCACCAAGGCGACGAUGGGUAACCGGUCUGAGAGGGCGAACGGUCACACUGGAACUGAGACACGGUCCAGACUCCUACGGGAGGCAGCAGUGGGGAAUAUUGCGACCAAGUGGGGGAAACCCUGACGCAGCAAUACCGCGUGAGUGAAGUAAGGUUUUCGGAUCGUAAAGCUCUGUUAUUGGGGAAGAAAAAAGACGGUACCCAAGAAGAAAGUCCCGGCUAACUACGUGCCAGCCGCCGC
rnacentral:rRNA from 1 species